UACGAAGGGGGCUAGCGUUGUUCGGAAUUAUUGGGCGUAAAGGGUGCGCAGGCGGCCAUAGUGUGUGUGGAGCGUGAAAGCCCGAUGCUUAACAUCGGAAUUGCACCUCAAACUACAUGGCUAGAGCAUUGGAGAGGGUAGCGGAAUUCACGGUGUAGCAGUGAAAUGCGUAGAUAUCGUGAGGAACACCAGAGGCGAAGGCGGCUACCUGGACAAUUGCUGACGCUCAGGCACGAAAGCGUGGGGAGCAAAAGGG
rnacentral:rRNA from 1 species